GAUGAAGAACGUAGCAAAAUGCGAUACUUGGUGUGAAUUGCAGAAUCCCGUGAACCAUCGAGUUUUUGAACGCAAGUUGCGCCCGAAGCCUUUUGGCCGAGGGCACGUCUGCCUGGGCGUCACGCAUCGCGUCGCCCCCCACAAUUCUCCGUAAAGGGAACAUGUGUUUUGGGGGCGGAUAUUGGUCUCCCGUGCUCAUGGCGUGGUUGGCCGAAAUAGGAGUCCUUUCGAUGGACGCACGAACUAGUGGUGGUCGUAAAAACCCUCGUCUUUUGUUUCGUGCUGUUGCUCACAAGGUAAACUCUUUAAAAACCCCAAUGUGUCGUCUCUUGACGACGCUUCGACCGCGACCCCAGGUCAGGCGGGACUACCCGCUGAGUUUAAGCAUAUCAAUAAGCGGAGGA
rnacentral:misc_RNA from 1 species